ensembl:snRNA U1 U1 spliceosomal RNA
AUACUUACCUGGCAGGGGAGAUACCAUGAUCAUGAAGGUGGUUUUCCCAGGGCGAGGCUUGUCCAUUGCACUGCAGAUGUGCUGACCUCUGCGAUUAAAAAAAAAAAAAAUACAAUGGUACCAGGGUUCACAAAAUUAAUUCUUUUCACAAUUCUGGGGAAGAUGGCCACAUUCUUGUUCAUG